rnacentral:rRNA from 1 species
UACAGAGGGUGCAAGCGUCAUCCGGAUUCACUGGGUUUAAAGGGUGCGUAGGUGGGCUGUUAAGUCAGUGGUGAAAUCUCCGGGCUCAACCCGGAAACUGCCAUUGAUACUAUCAGUCUUGAAUAUCGUGGAGGUAAGCGGAAUAUGUCAUGUAGCGGUGAAAUGCUUAGAUAUGACAUAGAACACCAAUUGCGAAGGCAGCUUGCUACCCGAAUAUUGACACUGAGGCACGAAAGCGUGGGGAUCAAACAGG